UACAGAGGAUGCAAGCGUUAUCCGGAAUGAUUGGGCGUAAAGCGUCUGUAGGUGGCUUUUUAAGUCCGCCGUCAAAUCCCAGGGCUCAACUCUGGACAGGCGGUGGAAACUACCAAGCUGGAGUACGGUAGGGGCAGAGGGAAUUUCCGGUGGAGCGGUGAAAAGCGUAGAUAUCAGGAGGAACACCGAUGGCGAAGGCAGGUCUCUGGGCUGACACUGACGCUCAUGCACGAAAGCGUGGGGAGCAAACAGG
rnacentral:rRNA from 1 species